ACGGAGGGAGCUAGCGUUGUUCGGAAUUACUGGGCGUAAAGCGUGCGUAGGCGGUCUUUUAAGUCAGGGGUGAAAUCCCGGAGCUCAACUCCGGAACUGCCCUUGAAACUAGAAGACUAGAAUCAUGGAGAGGUGAGUGGAAUUCCGAGUGUAGAGGUGAAAUUCGUAGAUAUUCGGAAGAACACCAGUGGCGAAGGCGACUCACUGGACAUGUAUUGACGCUGAGGUACGAAAGCGUGGGGAGCAAACAGG
rnacentral:rRNA from 1 species